rnacentral:piRNA from 1 species
UGCCUUGAAAGAAAGGACCCAGUCCUG